rnacentral:rRNA from 1 species
GACGAACGCUGGCGGCGUGCUUAACACAUGCAAGUCGAACGGAAAGGCCCUGCUUUUGUGGGGUGCUCGAGUGGCGAACGGGUGAGUAACACGUGAGUAACCUGCCCUUGACUUUGGGAUAACUUCAGGAAACUGGGGCUAAUACCGGAUAGGAGCUCCUGCUGCAUGGUGGGGGUUGGAAAGUUUCGGCGGUUGGGGAUGGACUCGCGGCUUAUCAGCUUGUUGGUGGGGUAGUGGCUUACCAAGGCUUUGACGGGUAGCCGGCCUGAGAGGGUGACCGGCCACAUUGGGACUGAGAUACGGCCCAGACUCCUACGGGAGGCAGCGGUGGGGAAUCUUGCACAAUGGGCGGAAGCCUGAUGCAGCAACGCCGCGUGCGGGAUGACGGCCUUCGGGUUGUAAACCACUUUCGCCUGUGACGAAGCGUGAGUGACGGUAAUGGGUAAAGAAGCACCGGCUAACUACGUG